rnacentral:rRNA from 1 species
GAUGAACGCUAGCUACAGGCUUAACACAUGCAAGUCGAGGGGAAACGACAUCGAAAGCUUGCUUUUGAUGGGCGUCGACCGGCGCACGGGUGAGUAACGCGUAUCCAACCUGCCCAUCACUUGGGAAUAACCUUGCGAAAGUAAGACUAAUACCCAAUGACAUCCCACGAAGACAUCUGAAUGGGAUUAAAGAUUUAUCGGUGAUGGAUGGGGAUGCGUCUGAUUAGCUUGUUGGCGGGGUAACGGCCCACCAAGGCAACGAUCAGUAGGGGUUCUGAGAGGAAGGUCCCCCAAAUUGGAACUGAGACACGGUCCAAACUCCUACGGGAGGCAGCAGUGAGGAAUAUUGGUCAAUGGGCGAGAGCCUGAACCAGCCAAGUAGCGUGCAGGAUGACGGCCCUAUGGGUUGUAAACUGCUUUUAUAAGGGAAUAAAGUGGGUCUCGUGAGACUUUUUGCAUGUACCUUAUGAAUAAGGACCGGCUAAUUCCGUG